AUUUCAGUAAAUCAUUUGUAAUGUGAUGUUCCCUUCAUCGCAACAAACUUGCAUAAAAUCAUUUCUUGAUGUCUGGAUGUAGGUGAUUUGUUUCAGUUUGACCAUAACAACUCUGUAAAGUGUUGGGUUUCCAGGAAAACAAACAGAAACAAGAGUGAAGUCAGUGUAUGUAUGAACUACAGAUGUGUGUCUGUGAGUGUGACUGAAAAAGCGUCCCGUUACAAUCUCUAUCUUACACAUGGGAAACCUGAGGACUGUUUGGGGCAUCUUUUUACCAACAGGCUGUGUGGAGUUUAAGCCAGUACCUGGUGAAACUCCAUCUCUGCAGGUUUAAUAUUUAAAGACUGUUGAGAGUUUAGUUCCCUGAAGAGAUCAGGAUCGACUCAUCCUCCUGGUCAGCAUGGCAGCACCCAAACUGCACUGAAGCGCACUGAAGGCAUCUGAUCUGAAGAUUUCGGACUCAUCCAGGUGCAUAUGUGAGCUUACCAAGACCAAACACAGGAACAGCAGUGGACGGCCAGCAAAUACAGUAAUAUACACAAUGUAUGUGAACUCCUCUGGAGCUGACAAUGGAUCUUAUUCACUGACAUUCCUAGGGAAGAAAGUUGGGAGACAUCACUCUGUGGCCCCUGCAGGCAAGCAACUUGCUUGGGAGACAACUGGCCGGUCCGCUUGCCCUGAGGACCCUGUGGUGUCCUCGCGGGCUCGUCAGGUCCCACUGGCAGCGCAAAUGCUGGAAGAUUUACCAGGCAGCGUGCCAGAGCUGAAGGACCAGAGGCCAUGUCCAGUAAUUCACAGCACACAGUUUGACCCAUAUGAGGACAGUGCAACAGGUAUUUCUGGGAGGAAAGUAACAGCAUGACGACACGCCCACAUUCCUGUAUGAGGAAACAAAGAGGGGAGAGGGUGGGAUGUAAGAGACAGACAAUGAUGAAAUACUCAGAAGAGGCCUUUUAACGGAAUGGGUCAACAUUUUAGAGGAGACUGGGCAUGGUGAAGCAACAAGCUGUACAUGAAAAUAAACAGGGACUAACUAAGUUCUACAGUUAUUAAAACGACAUAUAUUUUGAGUGUAGUGUUCAGAAAUGUAAAUAGACCUUAAACUGCAUGCCAAUCACUCAUCAUCAUAAAGAUGUAAACGUGUUUUAAACCUUAUAAAUAAAAUUUUAAUGGUUUC